AUUGAACGCUGGCGGCAUGCUUUACACAUGCAAGUCGAGCGGCAGCGCGGGGGCAACCCUGGCGGCGAGCGGCGAACGGGUGAGUAAUGCAUCGGAACGUAUCCUCGAGUGGGGGAUAACCCAGCGAAAGUUGGGCUAAUACCGCAUGAGCUCAGAGGAGGAAACCGGGGGACCUGCGAGAGCCUCGCGCUGGAGGAGCGGCCGAUGUCCGAUUAGCUAGUUGGUGGGGUAAAGGCUUACCAAGGCGACGAGCGGUAGCUGGUCUGAGAGGAUGAUCAGCCACACUGGGACUGAGACACGGCCCAGACUCCUACGGGAGGCAGCAGUGGGGAAUUUUGGACAAUGGGGGCAACCCUGAUCCAGACAUGCCGCGUGAGUGAAGAAGGCCUUCGGGUUGUAAAGCUCUUUCGGACGGAACGAAAUGGGCGGGACUAAUACUCCUGUCUGAUGACGGUACCGAAAGAAGAAGCACCGGCUAACUACGUG
rnacentral:rRNA from 1 species